AGUGCCCUCCGGAUUUACUGCGCGUACCCUGCUCUCCGACUGUGUGGAGGUGUUAGUGGCCUGUGGAGCGCGGUGGAUGCGGGCAGCAAGCUCCCAUAAGCCCGGUUGACCUGUCGCUCAAGUGAAGCCGGCAGAAAUCCCCGAGGAGCUUUGGAAACCUGCGGCUUAGGUGGAGCCGGCGUCGCCUGGCCCGCGAGCGUGAGCGAGUUUCCUAGUAGCUGGCGCCUUGGGAACUGAAUCAACGACUCCUCCGCUUUUUAAGUUUUUUUAGGGUGUGGAUAAAGCCCGGACUCAGCCUUAGCUUCCAAAGCUGCAGAAACAGGACACUUUUAACAGCUGACUCUUGUAUCAUCAUCCUUACCCCAUUGUCAUCUGUUUUUCAAAAUGUAAUUUGAACCAGCUGUAUCAAAUCUACCUGUGGCAGUUGUUCAAAAUGCAGGUCCCUGAGCCCUGCCCCGGCAUGCCUCCUAAAGCCCAAGAUUUUAACCCCCACUAGAGUUUGAAAUUAAACCCUAUACUACACAGCAGAGAAGAACCUGGGAAGAGGCUCAGUGCUCUAGGAAAUAUAAUUCCUGAGCCUUUGGUAGUAUCUUGACCUGGACCAGCAAAACUGACAGGGAGCUAGCACCGCAGAAGUACUGUGCUUGUUGAUACCGAAGACUUUGACAGUGGAGACAUAGCUAUCCUGAUGACUCGGGCACAUUGAGUCAUAGCCCAGCAGAUUUACUGCAUUAUUAAGUAUGAGCUAAUAUGCUAUGUGAAGCAAAGAAGCCCUGUAUUUACUGCCACGCCGAGUUGAUACUCUCCUCCCUGGUAAUUACUCAAAUCAGCAGCUAGGUUUUUGGUAGGUUAUUGCUCAGACUCUUUGACCCUCCCCAAAGUCAUAAAUAUGAAUAGUACCUGGGUUUCUCGACUUGAAUCCCAGUUUAUAUGCCAGCUGAGAAAAGAAUAAAUGUUUUAGAAGCAUGCGGUGAUCCAAAUUGAAGGAAGUUUGGACUAUGGUUUUGUAAGACUAGUUUUUCCUUCAGACACUAUUAGAUUGCUUUUGUAGAAGAAGCCAACAGAGGAGAGAUCCAUGUGUAUGGACAGAGCUAGAGUGAUUGGUGCUUCAACAGCAGUCUCUUCAACUUUGCUUGAGUGUGGAGGCCACACAGAUCACAAACUCCAUUGGCUGCAAGAUACCUUUGCUCAAAAGGAGCUAACCACUGCACUGUUCCCCAGCAUAUCAAAGCUAAGCUGAAUUGUAUGCUACUAACGAUUUGGAAAGAUGAAAGAGAUUAACAGCACAAAGAUGCCAAUAAUUUUAAAUAUGAUCUUUAAAAAAAACUGCAUUCUUAAAAUGAGAGAGAUACACUCAAGGAAGAAGCAACUGCUCCAUACAUUAGCAUGUCCAAAAAUGAUAAUUAGACCUGCUGAGCUAUCUUUGCAACCAGAGAGGAACCAGCUUGAAAACAAAGUCGACACAAUGAGAUGACAGCAGAAAAUGAAAAGAACUUGAGUCUUCAAUGAUGAUAAUGAAGUGAUGGACUAAACCUGGAGAAUACCUAUUAUGGGCUUCCUGUCAUCUAAGGUAAUACAUGCCUUUGCUGUUUAAACCAGUGUUUAUUUUCUGUACAAGCUUCAUAAUUGGGCUUAGGUACCUGUUAACCCCUUAGAAUGUCCUUUUAUGCUUUUCAUGAUUUUGCUGAAGUCAUCUGAGAAUAACAGAAAAGCACAUUUUCUGAUUCCAUCCCCUUAGAUAUGACUUUGGGUCUCUCACUCUGAAUGAUCAUGGUUAAUAAAGCAUAGAAAGCACUGAGAAGAGUAGAAGGUAAGUAGAUAGGAUAAGAUAUCUGAUGAAGGAGAUGAUCCUGAUAAGGUAAGGUGAAGUGUGAAAGUUAGGCAGGAGAUGCAAGUGAGAAAAGAAAGAAGGUGGCUAUUCUGGGAAGACUCUUAGAAAGCCAGUCUUAGGGACAUAUGAACCACAUAUUUGGGAAGAGUUGUGAAUCUCACAUUAUAGUAAUGGCAUCACUUCAAUCCAUGUUAUCCUCUCAUGGGGAAAAAAAUCAGUGUUCAUGGGAUAUCAGAGAAUUCAUGCUUGUUUUCUUCAGAAACAGACUAAAUGUCUCAUGAUGACAGGAUGAUUUUAAAAUGAAAGGCUUGAUAUUAAUUAUCCUGUAAACAUCUGAGAGGUCCAUAGCAUUGCUUUCUUUCAGCCUGGCACAAGUCUCAUAAACUAGAAGAUGACCUUAACACUCAAUCUGUGGUAGUUCUCCCCCAUGACCUCUUACCCUUUUCUAAACAUCUUCAUAAAGGUGUGGUAAUAUUUCUUCUGUGAAUCAUAUGAGAGCUUUUCACAUGGAUUUAAACAGUAAAUCUAACAAUAGGCUUUUUUUGGCCUGAUCACUCAGGGGCAUUUACUUAUUCUUAUAUUUUAGACAUUUGAGAAAAAAUAAUUCCUGAAAAUAUUAUAUUCAAUUGUAUUUGAAGCCAUAAAGAGGAAGGAAAUAAUAAAUUAGAGUAGAAAUAAAUGAAGUAGAGAGUUGAUAAACAAUAAAGAGAAUCAAUGAAACCAAAAAUUGAUUAUUUGAGAAAAAUCAACAAAUUGACAAAUCUAAAGAUUAAGAAAAAAGAGAACUACUCAAAUUACUAAAAUCAGAAAUUAAAGAGGGUACAUUACUACUGACUUUACACCAUUAUAAGAGAGUAUUAUGAACAACUGUAUACUAACAAAUUAGAUGACUUGGAUGAAAUGGACAAAUUCAUAGAAAGACACACACUACCAAAACUAACUAAAGAAAUGGAAAAUCUGAAUGGACCUUUAACAAGUAAGGAGGUUGAAUCAGCAAUCAAAAAUCUCCCAACACAGAAAAACCUAGGGCCAGAUAGAUGGCUUCAUUGUGAUUUCUACUAACAUUUAAAGAAUUAACAUGAAUACUCAAACUCUUCCAAUAAACAGAAUAGGAAAGAAUACUUCUUAACUCAUUGUAUGAGGCUGACAUUACCAUGAUACUAAAGCCAGACAAAAACACUACAAAAUAAGAAAAGUACAAACCAGAUUUCCUUGUGAAUGUAGAUAUGAAACUCCUCAACAAAUGCUAGCAAAUAGAAUUCAGCAGCAUGUUAAUAGGAUUUUAUGCCAUAACUGAAGGGGAUUUAUCCCAGAAAUGCAAGAGAAGUUUAACAUACAAAAUCAAUGAAUGCAAUUCACCACAUUAAUAGAAUGAAGGAGGGGAACCACAUGGCCAUCUCAAUUGAUGUCGAAAAGCAUUUGCAAAAUCCGACAUGCCUUUUGAUAAAAGCACUCAGUAAACUAGGAUCAGAAGGGAACUUUCUCAGCAUGAUAAUGGGUACAUAUUUUAAAACUCCAAGGUAACAUCAGCAUCAAGGGGAAAAAACUAAAAGUUUUUCCUCUAAAAUUAGGAGCAAGACAGAAUUCCUGCUUUUGCCACUUCUAUUCAACAUAGUAUUGGCAGUUCUGGCCAGAGUAAUUAGGCAAGAAAGAGAAAUAAAAUGUAUCCAGAUUGGAAAGGAAAAAGUAAAACUGUCUCUAUUUACAGAUUACAUGAAUGUAGAAAGCCCUAAAGAAUACACACAUAUACCCCUUUUAGAGCUAAUUAGUGAAUUCAGCAAAGUUUCAAGAUAUAAAAUCAACACACAAAACCAGUUGAAUUUCUGUACACCAGCAAUGAAAAAUCUGAAAAGGAAAUUAAGGACACAAUUCUGUUUUAUAAUAGCAUCCAAAAGAGUAAAAUAUUUAAGAAUAAAUUUAACCAAUGAGGCACAAAACUUGUACACCGAAAACUAUAAAACAUUGCUGAAAGAAAUCAAAGAAUAUCUAAAUAAAUAGAAAGAUAUUCUAUGUUCAUGGAUUGGAAUACUUAAUAUUGUUAAAAUUAAAAUAUUGGAGUUCCUCAGCGGAAACGAAUCUGACUAGCAUCCAUGAGGACGCAGGUUCAAUCCCUGCCCUCACUCAGGGGGUUAAGGAUCCGCCAUUGCCAUGAGCUGUGGUGUAGGUCACAGAUGUGGCUUGGCUCUGGCGUUGCUGUGGCUAUGGCGUAGGCCAGGGGCUAUUGCUCCAAUUCGACAUCUAGUCUGGGAACCUCCAUAUGCCAGGAGUGUAGCCCUUAAAAAGACAGAAAAAAAAAAAAAAGAAAGAAAGAAGAAAAUACUACCCUCACACAAUAUGUAGAUUCUGUGUAACCACUGCCAAAAUCCCAGUAGCACUUUUUGCAAAAUUGGAAAACUCCAUUAUAAAAUUCAUAUGGAAUUUCAAGGGGUCCAGAAUAGCCAAAACAGUCUGAAAAAGAAGAAAACUGUUGAACUCACACUUCCUGAUGUGAAAAGUUGUUAAAAUCUACCAUAACGAAAACAGUGUGAUACUUGCAUAAGGAUAGACAUAUAGACCAAUGGAAUAGAACUGAGGGCAUAGAAGUAACCCUUAGAUCUCUGGUCAUUUGAUCUUUGACAAGGUUGCCAAGACCAUUCAAUGAGAAAAGGAUAGUCUACUAAGAAAUGGUGCUAAGAUAUCCAUGUUCAAACGUAUGAACCCUUAUCUUAAACCAAAUACAAAUAUUAACUCAAAGUGUAUCAAUACUUAAAUGUAAAAGCUAUAAACUCUUAAGAUUAAAUACUGUAAAACUAUCAUAGGAAAACAUAGGAAAAAAUCUUUAUGAACUUGCAUUUGAUAAUGGUUUCUUAAGUAUGACACCAAAAGCAUGAACCACAAAAUAAACAAUAGAUAAAUUGGACUUCAUCAAAAUUAAAAACUGCUGUGCAUCAAAGGAUACUAUCAAGAGAUUGAAAAGACAACCCAUGGAAUGAGAGAAAAUAAUAGAAAAUCAUGUCUGGUAAGAGACUAACAUCCAAAAUAUAUAAAGAAUCCUACAACUCAACAACAAAAAGACAACCUACGUUUUAAAAUGAAUGAAGCAUUAAGAUAGCUAUUUCUCAAAAAAUAUAUAUACAAAUGGGCAAUAAGCAUAUUAAAAAAACACAAUGAAAUAUCAUGUCACACCUACUAGGAUGGUUAAUUUUUUAGUGAAAAUAACUAAUGUUGGUGAAAAUGUGGAGAAAACAGAACCCUAGUACGUUGCUGGUGGGAAUGUAAAAUGGCACAGCUGCUGUGGAAACCAGUGUGACAAUUCCUCAAAAAGUUAAUCAUAGAAUUACCUUAUUAUCCAACAAUUCCACUCCUAGGUAUAUACCCAAAAGAGCUGAAAACAAGGGCUCUGGAGUUCCUGUUGUGGCACAGCCAAAGCAAAUAUGACUAGUAUCCAUGAGGAUGCAGGUUUGAUCCCUGGCCCCACUCACUGGCUCAGGAAUCUGGCGUUGCCACGUACUGUGGUAUAGAUUGCACACGUGGCUUGGAUCCCCACUUGCUGUGGCUGUGGCUUAGGCCAGCAGCUGUUGCUCCAAUUCGACACUUAACCUGGGAACUUCCACAUGCUGUGGGUGCGGCCCUAAAAGGCCAAAAAAAAAAAAAAAAAAA
rnacentral:lncRNA from 1 species